ACUACAUAUUAAAUGGAUUUUUCGAACAGGGAGUCGGAAAUGGGGCUUGCUCCGUCCGCUCCACGCAUCGACCCGGUAUUGCAGUACCUCCGGGAACGGUGCAACACUU
rnacentral:snRNA from 8 species